rnacentral:tRNA from 1 species
GCCCGGUUAGCUCAGUCGGUAGAGCAUUCGGCUUUUACGCGGAUUGCCGCGGAAACCGAAAUGUCGGGGGUUCGAGCCCCCCAUUGGGCG